CACACACACACACACACACACACACACACACACACACACACACACACACACACACACACACACACACACAAAUACACACACACACACCCACACAUACACAAAUACACACAUACACACACACACAUACACACACACUGUCAGUGAUUAACAGAUUAAAAACUUUUACAUAAUCUCUCUCACCGUCUCACUCUCACAUGUCGCUCUCUCUCUCGGAGUACGGUUGAUGACGGGGAAGAGAUGAAGACUUUUUCAGGCUUUUCAACUUUCUAACUUUUAAUUUCUGUUUUAAGAGCAACAACAGCUGAAAAUACAAAUUAACUGAAGUUGUUUUUGGGGAUUGUGUGCGUUACAGGGAGGCGUGUAGGGACAGGUGUAGCAGCUGGUCCACAGGUAGAACAGGAAGAAGAAGGAGUGUGGGUGAUGAUAUCAUGACUGAGAUGUCGAACACGGCAGAUGUUAUCUCACACUCAGACAAAUUCUCCAUUCUUUAGAAUCGCACGGUGGACCUUAGGAGCUGUGCUGAGAUUAUUCUGGGAGAGAGAUCGGGUGGACUGGAGUUGCACUUCUCAGGAAAGCAACAGGUCUCAGUUAAAAUAAGCAGCUAUUUCUACUAAUCAUCAAUGAACCUGACCAGAGUAACCUGACACCUUUCUACAGGUCCAAGCUAAUAGCAUGGAACAUUGACUUUUCAGUAGCUAGGAACAUCUCACAACCAAGGAACUGGAUCAUGGGGGAACUCCUUGCCACAGACAAGCGCCCUGGCCUCUGGAACCCUGAGCGACUGCUUGGUGAGGGCUGGCUGCAUCAUAGCUGGCCACCUAAGAGAGGAUGGGUGGUGUAAAACAGCAGUAUCUCUUCAGGGUGAAAUGGAAAUCUGGUCACUAAGACUGCUCAAAACCUUGUGGAUGAGGUGAGAGCAGUGCUGCCUUCCUUCACAGGACCAGGAAGAGCCUGAAGAUGCAGACAGAAUCCUGUCCUUCAAGACACGUGAAUUGGGGAAGUUUCAGGACUUCGAACGAGGCACUGUACAUCACCUGUGUGAAAGUAAACCACCAGUCCUCACUGAGGAGAGUGAAAGUGUGAACCCGACUUCUUUCCGAAGGUCACUGUAUGAACCCCAUUGAAAAACGGGUGGUGUUUCUACAGUGGAGGAUGAUUCACAGGGCUGUAGUUCUUGUUUGGGACUCUCUGGGGUCUCACUCCUGAAGGAAGAGUUCAAGCUGCUUCUGGGGUCAGAGUUCACACAGAUGACUCCAGGACUUACUCUGAUCUUCAGUUCAUGCUGCUGGUGAGAAGGAAGUUUUAAAACUGCAGGAACUUCCCUCGUUUCUCAGCUUCUGAGAUAUUUAAUGAACCUGAUCUGAUAUAUUUAAAUGUAAAUUAAAUAUAAUAUGAUGGGAAAUGUUCCUGAAACGAUUUCUAAUUGGGAUUAUUUAAAAUGUGGGCUAUUUGUUGGUACCUGGAAUAGUGAAGGCUACAGCAGGGGGAAGAGCUUUCUCUUACAAAGCCCCACAGUUAUGGAACAGUCUUCCUAUUAGUGUUUGGGACUCAGACACAGUCUCAGUGUUUAAGUCCAGGCUGAAAACAUAUUUGUUUACUCAAGCUUACCAUGAAUAGACUUUCUUUUAUGCAAAGUACAAAGGCUUAAAUAACAAUCUCGUCCUCUCUUUACCUCCCUCUCCCUCUCUCCUUCUGUUGAGCCACACAUGAUAUUACGGAGAUGCCAGUGAUCCUGAUCCUUUCAGCUCUCCGGACCUGCCUGUUCAUCCUAAUGCCCUACCUCUGGAUGGCGCACUCAUCAACUGGAGGCUACAUUCUGCCACUGAGGACGACCCAAGCAGCGCAGCCUGGAGAUUGCUGAGGGUGGUACCACUUGAAGUACCAUAGAAAUUUUUCUGGACCUCAAUUCCACAUGGACGUCCUCGCUGUGGUUGCUGGGACUACGGUUGCUGCGAUGGCCUUAGGACAGCGAUUACCACAUGCAGUUUUGCACUCAGAUCUCCUUUAGUGAACGGUGGACUAGUUCAACACACAGACUUCAUAUAAAAACCAUAAUGAACUUUCUUUUACUUUCACACUAUCCGUUGUUACCCAGAUGAGGACGGGUUCUCUUCUGAGUCCGGUUCCUCUCAAGGUUUCUUCCUCAUAUCAUCUCAGGGAGUUUUUCCUCACCACCAUCACCACCGGCUCGCUCAAUAGGGAUAAAUUCACACAUUUAAAAUCUGUAUCCUGUGUUUAUAUGUUUCUGUAAAGCUGCUUUGAGACAAUGUCCGUUGUUAAAAGUGUUAUACAAAUAAAACUGAAUUGAAAUUGGAACACUG